UACGAAUGGGGCUAGCGUUGCUCGGAAUCACUGGGCGUAAAGGGUGCGUAGGCGGGUCUUUAAGUCAGGGGUGAAAUCCUGGAGCUCAACUCCAGAACUGCCUUUGAUACUGAAGAUCUUGAGUUCGGGAGAGGUGAGUGGAACUGCGAGUGUAGAGGUGAAAUUCGUAGAUAUUCGGAAGAACACCAGUGGCGAAGGCGGCUCACUGGACUGGUAUUGACGCUGAGGUGCGAAAGCGUGGGGAGCAAACAGG
rnacentral:rRNA from 1 species